rnacentral:rRNA from 1 species
CGUACACUCCUAGGGAGGCAGCAGUGGGGAAUUUUGGACAAUGGGCGAAAGCCUGAUCCAGCAAUGCCGCGUGCAGGAUGAAGGCCUUCGGGUUGUAAACUGCUUUUGUACGGAACGAAAAAGCUCCUUCUAAUACAGGGGGCCCAUGACGGUACCGUAAGAAUAAGCACCGGCUAACUACGUGCCAGCAGCCGCGGUAAUACGUAGGGUGCGAGCGUUAAUCGGAAUUACUGGGCGUAAAGCGUGCGCAGGCGGUUAUGUAAGACAGAUGUGAAAUCCCCGGGCUCAACCUGGGAACUGCAUUUGUGACUGCAUGGCUAGAGUACGGUAGAGGGGGAUGGAAUUCCGCGUGUAGCAGUGAAAUGCGUAGAUAUGCGGAGGAACACCGAUGGCGAAGGCAAUCCCCUGGACCUGUACUGACGCUCAUGCACGAAAGCGUGGGGAGCAAACAGGAUUAGAAACCCGAGUAGUCCC